GGUCACCCACUUACUCCUGGCAGGCAGGCUGCUGCCCUGGGCAGUACACUUGGAAUUGCACUGGUAGGAGGAGCACUGACAGGUGCUAUUCUAAAGCUGCCCUUCUUGGGACAAGUAUCUGACCAGAACUGCUUUGAUGACUCUGCUUAUUGGGAGGUUCCAGAAGAGGAGAUAGUAUCYGAAAUUCACUCCAGCCACCGUGAUGAGCACAGCAGAUUUGAAGCUGCCAUGUAGAACAUUAAUUAAUCUGCAAUAUUUGUCCUAAUGAUACUCUUGUACGUUUCUAAUGCUGAGAAACAAUAAAACAACCUCCAAGUAUUGUCCUAACCACACCAGGUUUUUAAGAAAGGGCUGUAGAUAGCUAUAUUUUUGUAAURGAAAACAAGCUUGAUUUUAGGUUACUUACAUAGGUUAUGCCAAGCUCAGGUGAAUCAAUUAGGUCCUUCUAACAUAUUUGAUCAUCAGGAAGAUGCACCACAAACUGGUCUUUGAAACUAUAUAUAUUUUGUCUUUUCUUGUCACUGACAACAAUGUGCUGUUGUAAUAAACUUUGGGUUUCAAGGUUAUUACAGGAUAAUAUAUUUAACUGGAAGAUUUCUGAGUCACAUCCUUCAGCUGCAUAGGAAUUMAUUCAAGAAGAAAUGAACUGACAUUUUUUAUUUGGAUUUGAACAAACUUUUCACCAGAGCAUCCCAGAUUAACUUUUUAAGAAAGUGUGUUGUCUUGUUUUCAGGUGGGAGAGAAAAUGUGCUGCAUAAAAUGUGCUUCAUUUUGAGAGUUGAUUGUGACAGAAAACAAAAUGUUGAAAUAAUUCUCAUGGCAAAGCACAGAAUAUAGUGAGUGAUGAGGCAAUAUGAUUAUCAAUAUUCAUUGUUAAUAUGUUUAUUGAAAGGGAAAAGAAGGUGAAAUUGUAAAAAAAAAUAUUAUUGUCAUAGAUUUAUUUAUUUUCAUAGAUUUAGUUAGUCUCAAGGACACAAUAAAGGAACUGAGUAGGAGCUAUGAAAAUCAGGUGAUUGCAUAACAGGUCUCACUCUAUCCAACAGUAGUAACUGGAUUGURGCAGUGUUGAUGCCUAUAAAUGUAACCUGAACCAAUGCCAGCUCGAGAAAAACAUGAAUUGUUUGGAAUUUGUUGGAAAGAAAAUAUGUUCAACCUACAGAAGACUCAGCAGAGAACUUCCAUGGGGUGAGUCACUGACUCUGAAAUCUCCUAAAAGUGAAAGCAGAAAGAAGAAAAUUGAAGCUAAUUUAGGAAGAAAUAAUUCCACCCGAGAAGUGAUGACAGUGACUGCGCAUUUCAGAGAGGCAAAAAUUGAGGUAGCUGAAGGAAUUCCAUGGUGUGCCUAUGAGCAUGGGAUAAUCCACUAAAAGGGAAUGCUUGGGAAGUGGAAAUCUAAGAAGGACCAUGGUGCCUCAAUCCGUCAUUGAGACACAGAAAGCUACGGCUGCUGUCUCCGAASAACAAAAUGGGUGAACUUUCAAGAUUUUUUUUUUAUAUUAGGAACUUUUUUCAAGUCUUACUUAUCAGAACUAAGGGGGGAGAACCCCUCUCAUAUAAAAUAGCCCAUUUAYUUUCAGUUUUGUUGAUGUGUUUUUCCUUGAAAAACUUUAGAAAGAUACUAGGCAGGGCUGUGCCAUAUGUUAUACCUGCUGUAUACUGCUACAUAUGUCAGAUUUCUGUCCAUGAAUAAAAAUACAUUUGUUUUAUCACACUUCAGUUCAGAUAAGCUCUUUUGCAGAUGUGCAAUGACUGACUCUCUUUACCUUGUUGAUUGCAAGACAUUCUUUAUCCUCUCAAAGCUUUCACACGUUCAUUUUUGUAAAAACUGAGGAGGCAUUUGACAAUGUAAGUAUCGCAUUUGUAAAGAUUUUACAAGUAUUGUGUGCAUAGUUUACAAAGUGUUGAAGUACUUGAAAAAGAUUCCAUCUGUGGACAGCCUGCAAUAAUCUUAUCUUCAAUAUGUGAAUUUCACCCUUCAAAUUCCCACUUGGGAAUUGAGAGGGUUUUUCAUUCACCUUCAAGGGGUGAGAUAAUUUCACCAGCUUUGAGUGCUGACCACAGUGGAAUACCCGAGUGAGGAGGCACCACUCACUGCCAGUAAAUCUCUGAAUUAUAGAAUCCUUAAGGUUGGAAAAUAUUUCCAAGAUCAUCAAGUACAACYGUCAAUGGAUUAUCAUCAUGGCCAGUAAAUCACAUUUGAAAGAUGUGUCUACUCACUUCUUGAACACUUCCAGGGAUUAUGACUCCCCUGGGCAGCCUGUUCCAAUGUUUAAUUAUUCUUCUAGUGAUGGAUUUUUUUUCCUAAUAUGCAACCUGAACCUUCCCUGGCAAUUGUUGCAUUUAGAUUUUUUUUUAAUCAAAAAGGGGGAAAAUUAAGUACACUGUUUCAUUUUCCAGUUCCCCUUAUAAUCCCUUUCCCUCAUCCUCUAAGCACWCAUUAUUGUCCCCUAACUUCUUUUUUAGGAGAUUCCUCCCCCAGAGAGAUUAGUCCCUUCAGUUCUCUCMAAAAACAGAGUAGGGAGAUUAAUCCUUCUAUUUAAUCAAAGCUUAAAUGUUGUUGGGUGUUUUUUUCCCAUGUGACUGUGCCCUUGAAGUGUAAGAUUUGUUUCUCCAAAGGUUUUUUACCCUAAUUGCUUCCCCACAUUGCAGAUGCCAGUGGCAUUUAAUUCUCUGACUUAGGACAUUUUCUUUGGUUAGUUAUUUCCCAAUUAAUCAAAGCUUUGAAUACCUUGACUUAGUAGAGCUUUAUUGGUAAUUAGUUWCACCUUCUGUGUAAUAUGUGACUGGACACUUAAAAGGCAGAAGCUUUAAGUAUUUUACCAAGAACCYUUUUGUCCUUCCAUGAGGAAGUUUUACAUGGCAGGAGAGGAAAGUAAGGAGUUAAGGAAGGCACAGUGGACAAUGAGCUUAGAGGAGGGGACUGAAAAGUAAACAAAAGUUAAAGUACAACUACUCUAAAAUUGAGGGUCAUGAUCAUCAGCAUUUCUUUCCUUUCUUGUAAAAGACUGGCAAUGUUUUGUCCCUUCCAAGAAACACUCAGCACUUUUUCUGUUUUACCUUUGUUCUCACUUUGACUUCUUUUUACACUGAAAAAGCUUAAAUAAGGUGUUGUAGUUUAUUGGGGUUUUUUUGGUUUUUUGUUGGUUUUUUUUAAUGAGCAAAACUUUAAUGGUAUCUCCUUCAUACUAAACAAAGGCCAAGCCUUAUUGUCAGUCCUUUUCAGAACACCAGUGAGUGACAAUGACUUUGAAGACUGUCUUGCAGCUCUUCAGUGCUACCUCUGUCAGAGCAGUAUCUUUGCAUUUCAUUACUGRAAAGAACAUUUAUUUGAAAGCCACUGGCUGACUAUUUGCUUACAAAAUCUCGUUUAACAUUUGUGUUCAAAUCUGUUGCUGAAUAAACACAUGAA